UGAGGAAUAUUGGUCAAUGGGCGCGAGCCUGAACCAGCCAAGUCGCGUGAGGGAUGACGGCCCUACGGGUUGUAAACCUCUUUUGUCGGGGAGCAAAUUCCGCCACGUGUGGCGGAGUCGAGAGUACCCGAAGAAAAAGCAUCGGCUAACUCCGUGCC
rnacentral:rRNA from 1 species